AGAGUUUGAUCCUGGCUCAGGACGAACGCUGGCGGCGUGCCUAAUACAUGCAAGUCGAGCGGACUUCUUAAAAGCUUGCUUUUAAGAAGUCAGCGGCGGACGGGUGAGUAACACGUGGGCAACCUGCCUGUAAGACUGGGAUAACUUCGGGAAACCGGAGCUAAUACCGGAUAAUAUAAGGAACCUCCUGGUUCUUUAUUGAAAGAUGGUUUCGGCUAUCACUUGCAGAUGGGCCCGCGGCGCAUUAGCUAGUUGGUGAGGUAAUGGCUCACCAAGGCAACGAUGCGUAGCCGACCUGAGAGGGUGAUCGGCCACACUGGGACUGAGACACGGCCCAGACUCCUACGGGAGGCAGCAGUAGGGAAUCUUCCACAAUGGACGAAAGUCUGAUGGAGCAACGCCGCGUGAGCGAUGAAGGCCUUCGGGUCGUAAAGCUCUGUUGUUAGGGAAGAACAAGUGCGAGAGUAACUGCUCGCACCUUGACGGUACCUAACCAGAAAGCCACGGCUAACUACGUGCCAGCAGCCGCGGUAAUACGUAGGUGGCAAGCGUUGUCCGGAAUUAUUGGGCGUAAAGCGCGCGCAGGUGGUCCUUUAAGUCUGAUGUGAAAGCCCACGGCUCAACCGUGGAGGGUCAUUGGAAACUGGGGGACUUGAGUGCAGAAGAGGAAAGUGGAAUUCCCAAGUGUAGCGGUGAAAUGCGUAAGAUUUGGAGGAACACCAGUGGCGAAAGGCCGACUUUUCUGGUCUGUAAACUGACACUGAGGGCGCGAAAAGCGUGGGGGAGGCAAACCAGGGAUUAGAAUACCCUGGGUAGUCCACCGCCCGUUAAACCGAAUUGGAGUUGGCUAAGUUGUUAAGAGGGGUUUCCGCCCUUUAGUGCUGCAGCUAACGCAUUAAGCACUCCGCCUGGGGAGUACGGUCGCAAGACUGAAACUCAAAGGAAUUGACGGGGGCCCGCACAAGCGGUGGAGCAUGUGGUUUAAUUCGAAGCAACGCGAAGAACCUUACCAGGUCUUGACAUCCUCUGACACUCCUAGAGAUAGGACGUUCCCCUUCGGGGGACAGAGUGACAGGUGGUGCAUGGUUGUCGUCAGCUCGUGUCGUGAGAUGUUGGGUUAAGUCCCGCAACGAGCGCAACCCUUGAUCUUAGUUGCCAGCAUUUAGUUGGGCACUCUAAGGUGACUGCCGGUGACAAACCGGAGGAAGGUGGGGAUGACGUCAAAUCAUCAUGCCCCUUAUGACCUGGGCUACACACGUGCUACAAUGGACGGUACAAAGGGCAGCAAAACCGCGAGGUCGAGCCAAUCCCAUAAAACCGUUCUCAGUUCGGAUUGCAGGCUGCAACUCGCCUGCAUGAAGCCGGAAUCGCUAGUAAUCGCGGAUCAGCAUGCCGCGGUGAAUACGUUCCCGGGCCUUGUACACACCGCCCGUCACACCACGAGAGUUUGUAACACCCGAAGUCGGUGGGGUAACCUUUUGGAGCCACCCGCCUAAGGUGGGACAGAUGAUUGGGGUGAAGUCGUAACAAGGUAGACCGUAUCGGAAGGUGCGGCUGGAUCACCUCC
rnacentral:rRNA from 1 species